rnacentral:rRNA from 1 species
AACGAACGCUGGCGGCGUGCUUAACACAUGCAAGUCGAACGCGAAAGGGACUUCGGUCCUGAGUAAAGUGGCGCACGGGUGAGUAACGCGUAGAUAACCUGUCUUCAUGUCUGGAAUAAUACGCCGAAAGGGGUACUAAUACCGGAUAUCUUGCUUUUCAUAAGUUAUGCAAGCAAAGGUGGCCUCUGCAUAUGCUACUGCAUGAAGAGGGGUCUGCGUACCAUUAGCUAGUAGGUGGGGUAAUGGCCUACCUAGGCGACGAUGGUUAGCGGGUCUGAGAGGAUGAUCCGCCACACUGGCACUGGAACACGGGCCAGACUCCUACGGGAGGCAGCAGUGAGGAAUAUUGCGCAAUGGGGGAAACCCUGACGCAGCGACGCCGCGUGAGUGAAGGAAGGCCUUCGGGUCGUAAAGCUCUGUCAAGAGGAAAGAAGUGUACAAUGGCUAAUACCUGUUGUAUUUGACGGUACCUCUAAAGGAAGCACCGGCUAACUCCGUGCCAGCCGCAGC